GUCAACCCGUAGACCAUCAGGGGGGCGUGGCGGAAUGGUAGACGCUGCGGACUUAGAUAAACUGGGCCUUGGUGGAGAAAUCCGCGAAGUGUAAGCUCUCAAAUUCAGGGAAACCUAAGGCCAAGGGCUAGGGCAAUCCUGAGCCAAGCUGAGGGAUCAACCACCCCUAGGGGCGUUGACCUUCGGAAGGUGCAGAGACUCGACGGGAGCUACCCUAACAGGCCGUCUGCCAAGGCAGGCGAUCGCUGAGGGUAAAGGGAGAGUCCAAUUCUCAAAACCUCUGGCACCACGUCAGGGGCAACAGUGAAAGCUGUGGGAGAAUGAAAAUCCGUUGACCGUGAGGUUCGUGAGGGUUCAAGUCCCUCCGCCNNNN
rnacentral:ncRNA from 1 species